rnacentral:rRNA from 1 species
AGAGUUUGAUCAUGGCUCAGGACGAACGCUGGCGGCGUGCUUAAUACAUGCAAGUUGAGCGGAGCCAUUGAUCAAGCUUGCGAUUCAAUGGUCGAGCGGCGGACGGGUGAGUAACGCGUGGGCAACCUGCCCUCUAGUCUGGGAUAACAGUUCGAAAGGGCUGCUAACACCGGAUAAGCUCACGGAGAGGCAUCUUUCAGUGAGAAAAGUUUACGCUAGAGGAUGGGCCCGCGUCCCAUUAGCUAGUUGGUGAGGUAACGGCUCACCAAGGCGCCGAUGGGUAGCCGACCUGAGAGGGUGACCGGCCACACUGGGACUGAGACACGGCCCAGACUCCUACGGGAGGCAGCAGUAGGGAAUUUUCCGCAAUGGGCGAAAGCCUGACGGAGCAACGCCGCGUGAGGGAAGAAGGUCUUCGGAUCGUAAACCUCUGUCUUCAGGGACGAUGAUGACGGUACCUGAGGAGGAAGCCACGGCUAACUACGUGCCAGCAGCCGCGGUAAUACGUAGGUGGCGAGCGUUGUCCGGAAUUACUGGGCGUAAAGGGCGUGUAGGCGGCCAUUUAAGUCAGAUGUGAAAUACCAUGGCUUAACCAUGGGACUGCAUUUGAGACUGGAUGGCUUGAGGAUCGGAGAGGGCAGUGGAAUUCCCAGUGUAGCGGUGAAAUGCGUAGAUAUUGGGAGGAACACCAGUGGCGAAGGCGACUGCCUGGACGACACCUGACGCUGAGGCGCGAAAGCUAGGGGAGCAAACGGGAUUAGAUACCCCGGUAGUCCUAGCCGUAAACGAUGGGUACUAGGUGUGGGAGGUAUCGACCCCUUCCGUGCCGCAGUUAACACAAUAAGUACCCCGCCUGGGGAGUACGGCCGCAAGGUUGAAACUCAAAUGAAUUGACGG